GCCAGGCGUGGUGGUGCAUGCCUGUAAUCCAGCUACUUGGGAGGCUGAGGCAGAAGAAUUGCUUGAACCCAGGAGGCAGAGGUUGCAGUGAGCCAAGAUUGUGCCACUGCACUCCAGCUUGGGUGACAAAGUGAGACUUUGUCUCAA
rfam:Homo sapiens chromosome 16, GRCh38 reference primary assembly.